rnacentral:rRNA from 1 species
GAGGAAUAUUGCACAAUGGGCGCAAGCCUGAUGCAGCAACGCCGCGUGAGGGACGACGGCCUUCGGGUUGUAAACCUCUUUUGGCAGGGAAGAAGCGAAAGUGACGGUACCUGCAGAAAAAGCACCGGCUAACUACGUGCCAGCAGCCGCGGUGAUACGUAGGGUGCAAGCGUUGUCCGGAAUUAUUGGGCGUAAAGAGCUCGUAGGCGGUUUGUCGCGUCUGCUGUGAAAACCCGAGGCUCAACCUCGGGCCUGCAGUGGGUACGGGCAAACUAGAGUGCGGUAGGGNAGAUUGGAAUUCCGGGUGUAGCGGUGGAAUGCGCAGAUAUCAGGAGGAACACCGAUGGCGAAGGCAGAUCUCUGGGCCGUAACUGACGCUGAGGAGCGAAAGCAUGGGGAGCGAACA